CCGUGAUGCAUCAAAGCUGAAAGUGGCCCCAGGAAGGAACCCAGCACGCUGGUUUACGGCUCCCACGCCUCAGCAAAGCUAUGAAGUAGAUGCUGGUACCGUCUCCUUCCAUGAUGAGAGAACUGAUGAAUGUCACACAGUCUGUGAGUGGCUGGAAGUGGUCCUUUCACAUCAGAAAUCACCCACAUAAAGUCAUCCCUUCCAAGGCUCUGUGUGAUGUGCCUCAACCUCUUCCACUCAGAAACCCGGCCCUCCAGAGGGCAGCAGAUGU